UGACUGCAAACUUAACAACCCUGGUUCUUGGUAAAAGCACUCAAAUUACCCUUCUUUCUACAUAUAUACAUUUCCCGGGGAGUGCGCGCCUCCCUGCUACAAGGGCUCGGGGGUGCCAUGCCAGUCCCCUAGUGCACGACCCAGAGUCCCUUCACACGGGAACUCAGGGGCUUGCUCUCAAAGUUAAGCUUCCAAAGCCCCUAGAGACAACUUGCUGCUAAAGUCUGUCAGACACUGUGCUAGCAGGAGGAGAGAAUAAGCCUGAAAGAUUCAGCAGCUCUUCUCUCUGGGGCUUCCCAAAGCCAAGGCAGACGCGGGACUGCGCUCAGCUCUGUUCUCUCCAGUUUCUAAGGAGCCACAUGCUAGAGAGACAAGACCUGCAAUGUGGAGGGGAACCCUGGAACAGAGAACUAGUCCAGGAUCGGAUACCAC